rnacentral:lncRNA from 1 species
CUUUUACCAUGUUAAUUUUUUUUAUUUUUUCUAAUUUUUUUUUUUAUUGUGAAGACGUUUUUUUUCAUUUUUAUUACUUCAAAUAUUAAAAUUUACACCUAUGUAUUAUCUAUGAACAUAUACAAUAAUAUAUCAGUAUAUCAUUUACUUAUUAUGUUGUUUGUUUAAUAUUUUUCUCUACGUAUUUUAAGUUUUAAACUUAAACUUAAAAAAGAUGUCAUGGAGAUUGGUGAAGCCACUGUUAUAGGUAAUUUAAUGUAUACCUAUAAGCAGCGAUAAACCAUUGCUUACGAAAAAUCGAUUCUGAAAGGAGUUCAUUUGAUAGUGAUGCUUUGUCAACAAUAUUUAUAUGUCUUAUUAUAGAAAAAUAAUUAAAUAGGCAUUAUAUAUUUUUUUUAAUAAUAUUUGUUUUAUGUUGAACCGAUUUUCCCAUGUUUUAACCCGAUUUUUUUAAUUUGCUGGAAAAACUCCUGAGAAAAUCGAAAAAUGACCUUUCUUAAGUACCUCCUCAUACCAAUUUCCUUUCAAAAAAGUUGCUACACGUAGAAAUCCGAGCAAGUCUUCUGGUAGAAAAGUUGUUAACAGAUAAAAAAAUAAAAAUCUUUGUAAAACCAUAAUCUUCUUCACAAAAGAUUUUACACAAAAGUUAUGUAGUAUAAGUAUCUAUUUAAUUGUAUAUCUACCAGUUUCAAUAUAUUUUAUUUUUAUACAACAUUAUGACCUAAGCACUCUUGCCAUUGGAAUUUAUGCAUGUUAAAUACUUUUACAUUUAAUUUUAAUUGAUUUAUUUUAUAAUUAAUAAUUAUUUUCAUUGUAUAUUUAUAUUUAAAUACUUAAUAUUGGUCAUGAAUUAAGAUAUCUUAAUUUGUGCUACUGGUUUAUGCUCUUAAUUUUUUUUAAAACUUAUUUAUCAUAAUAUAAUAUUGUUAAUUUGUGGUGUAUGCUUUUAAAUUAUAAAUCAACUAUCAUAUUUCAUAAUGGUAUUUGUAUAAUUAAUUAUAUUUAUAAUUAUAUAUUUUUAUUGUUAUUACAGGAAAAAUAUCUGGCUGAAGUCAACUCAAUUUAAGUUACUUAGUUAACCCAACAGAUUGUAUAACUCCAUGGUUAUGACUAUACAGUGAGUCCCACCAUGUUCAAUGAAGUUUUCUUGAGCUGGUAAUAUUAAAUAUUUUUCAAUUUUUUUUUUCAAUCGGUUUGUUUUCGAGGGGGACAUUUUUUUGGAAAAAAAAUCAAUUUUUAUUUUGUAACUUGAUUCACUUAUUUUCACUCAUAUCAUUUUUGUAUUUCUUCUGUAACUUGUACCUAUUCUUAUAAAUAAUAAAAUCACCAACUGAUAAUAAUGAUUACAAAUACUAUUCAAAAUACAAAUUCAUAUAAAAAUAAAUUACUAGCUAUUUGCAGUAAUAUAUUAAAAGUGACAAGUACACCAUCUGUUGACUUAUUCUCAUAAUUCCGUUUUUGUUGAAUAUGGUAAUGUUAGUGACAUAGGUAGCGCCACAUAACUAAACCAAGCCCCGGAUCGUCUCCGCACAUAGAAUUAAGCAAGUUGCCAGAUCAUCUUUAAGGUCGUUCUGUUGACGCUCCUAUUACAGAAUAGCCGAAAUAGAAUAACAGAAAGUUUAGUACCUACAUUUAAGUUAGGCGCUAGUAAGUUAACAAGAUUGCCGUGGCAAAUAACGGGAGUGCGUAAAAACCGAAUAUAAAUCAGCCAAAAAAAUAUUUCGGGCGAACCGUACUUAAGCAGACAAAUAUAUUUGACCCGAUAUUAUACCCGAUACUAUUAUAUUUUAUUUGAAAAUGUCACAGCCUCCCGUUUUAAAGAGAUAGGGCCAGACCUUCCAAAAAACGAUAAGCGUGAUAAAAAAUAAAUAAAGAGAGGAACUUCAUUUUCGGCAGUUUUAUAGUUCCCCCUCAUAACAAACGCGUCACACUCGCCUAUAGGUCAUCUAAUAGGUAUCAUUGUAACCAGUGGCGUAGCGAAGGAGGGUGUUUUGGUGGCAAAAAUGCCAACAAUUAUACUAUAUGCAGUUAUGCAACAGAUUACUACAUGAUGUGUUACGCAUAGAUAAUUAUUAAGUAUACUGUACAAUAUUAUGUUAUGUGUGUUCUACAUCUACCAUAUUAUUCGCUCGAUAAAAUUACGAAGUUACAACUUAACAUAAAAUAAAAAAAAACAUCCCAAAAAAAAUCCUCGCUUGCCGCCAAAAUGUUGUACCGUCCAAAACAUUGUAACGGGUUACAAGUUCAAAUACAUUCCUCGCUACGUUCCGAAUCUAAAACGUAGGAUAAACCUAUCUGGAUUGGUAGCAUUUAAGCAUCAAUAACGAACUAUUCUUGGUAAAUAAAAGUAUUUAAUCGAAUAUAAACGAUAUUUUCCACACCAAUCAUCAUCUGAAAAACAUCGAGUUUAUUAUUUGGACCCAAUCUAGAAACAAUAUUAAUGUUCAGUGACUAUUGUCAUUAAUAAUGACUCGUUAUUCAUUAAUCAAUUUUAUCAUAAGCAUAUAGUACUUACCCGCCUAAGUAAUUUAGAAUCAAUCAUUAUUAUUAUUAUUUUUUUUUUUAACACUUACCACAAUCUCAGUACGCGAUGUGACACUAAACUAUAUGUUUUUCGAACGGUUUCGACUAUAUGUUUAAACGGUUUUUAUGUUUCUACUGCAUGUCUACAUCGUACCUGACAAUAUCAAUAUAUUCAUAAUAUAAUUCCGCGCGGGUAUUUUUGUUUCUACUCGUGUUAUUUUUAAUAAGCACCUAGGUAAAUGGCUACAUAAUAAUUUUAUGGGUAGCAGCUAAAACAUUCGGGCAUUCGUGCGCUUUUUGAUUUAAUUGUACAGGUUAGGUUCUAUAGGUAAAGGUACACCCGUUGACGUGCGCCAUAACACCUGAACGUUGACCUACUUUAUAUAAUAUGCUAUACAAUAAUAUAGGUAUAUUAUACAGUAUAGAAUAUUAUUAUAGGUACACAGAAAAGCUAUUUAUAAAGCACGGGAAUUUAAUAUAAUGUAUGCGUAGAUAAUAUAGGUAAUAGGUACCUGUAUACUUAAAAAAAAAAAAUAUGCGCAUAAUCGUGAAAUUUAAACAUAAUACAUUUAAAGUAAAGAAAACGUACCCUAUAUAAACUUUUUUUUUUUUAAUGAUGAAUAACUAAUGUCCCUUCUAGAAAAAUAAAAACUGUCAAUAAAAUUAUAAUGAAACGUCGCUGCGUAUGAAUUGCGUCCCGAAAUGGAAAAAAAUGAGCUAAUACUGAGGACGGGUGCAACCACUGUUGUAGGUGGGAAGUUGGGAAAGUAGGAUACAUUAGGUUAUUUCAUCUGUAAGCAACGAUAAACCAUUGCUGACGAAAAACGAUUCGGAGUGAAGUUCGUUUAUACAGGUUUUGAAAGGCUGUAAUAUUUACGAUUUUCUUCAAAAUUUUAUAUUAAAAUUAUUAUAUAAAAAAAAAUCCACUUAAUACUCAAUAUUUUUUUUUUUUUACCAUAAAGUACGAUUUAUAACGAACCUCCAUCAAAUUUCGAACGCAGUUCGGUAAUACAUAAUUUGAAGUGUCGUAAUUUUUUUUGUGAGUUUCGUUUAAAUUUGAGUUCAAAACACUUAUUAAAAAAUAAUUCAACAAAAAAGGUCUCUUUUCAUUUUUCAAUUGGACCCAAAUUUGUGCUAAAAAACAUGGUAGGUACUUAGUUAAAAUAACGAAAUCAUCAAAAAACCGUAUUUUUUUUCUGGUUAAUCGUUUUUAUUUUAAAUACCUUUUCGAAAAUCAAAAAAUGAUCUAUGUAGAUAAAAUUUACUUUCAGAAAAGGUGUUACACUUAUACAUCGAAGAAAGUUUUCAUAGACGAAAGUGGUCUACAGUGUAAAAAAAAAAAAAAAUAAGUACCAUUGUAAAAAAAAUUGAAAAAAAGUCGUCCGAUCAUUUUGGAAAUUUUACCAUGUCAAGGUAAGUCCAAUAUAAGUACUAUUACCAUAUUUCAAGUCUCUACGUGAUUGAAUAACCGAAUUACAGUAAAGAAUCUCCCGAAAAUUAAAAUUCCUAAAAGUUCUAAACUUUUGGCAAUAAUACCGUAAGAAAGUAAAUCAAAAUGGCAACAAAAAAGGUGUCUUGUGAUUUUUUGAUUAAAUCAUUUUUUCUGAUAGAAAACGUCGUCCGUGUUUUUAUAAAAUAAUGAAAUCGUGAAAUAGUACGUUUUCCUACAUUUUGUCACACUUAAGUGCUUUUAUUUGAAAAAUGACCUCUUCAAAGUACUAUCUAGACAACAAGAGCUUUCAGAAAAGGUUGUUACUCGUAAAAAUCGAAGCAAGUUUAGAAAAAACGUGUCCACAGACUAGAAUAAAAAAAAAAAAAAAAAAAAAUCUUAGUAAAACCAAAAGGGCACUUGCUACGUUCGGAAUCUAAAAGAAAAUACUGGGGAUGAGAGCGGCCACUGUUGUAGGUGAGAAUUUGGGAAGGUAGGAUACAUGAGGUUAUUUCAUUUAUAUCUGUUACCAACGAUAAACCAUUGCUUACGAAAAAACCGAUUCUGAGCGGAAUUCAGUUGAUAGUGAUGCAUUGUUAACAAUAUAUAUGACAUUUUAGGAUAAAAUAAUUAAAUAGGCAAUAUAUAAAAAUUACCUCUCUAAAGUACCUCCCCAGAAAAAUUUCUUUUCAGAAAAAGUAGUAGCAUUGUAAAUCGGAAGAAAAUUUUCAUUUACCACCCAGUGGUGGGCCGCACUACCAACGUGUGGACACCGACAAUACGUCGCGGCUGAAUAAUACCAAAA